UACGGGAGGCAGCAGUGGGGAAUAUUGGACAAUGGGCGAAAGCCUGAUCCAGCCAUGCCGCAUGAGUGAAGAAGGCCUUCGGGUUGUAAAGCUCUUUUAGCGAGAAAGAUAAUGACGGUACUCACAGAAGAAGUCCUGGCUAACUCCGUGCCAGCAGCCGCGGUAAUACGGAGAGGGCUAGCGUUAUUCGGAAUUAUUGGGCGUAAAGAGCGCGUAGGCUGAUUAGUAAGUUAAAAGUGAAAUCCCAAAGCUUAACUUUGGAAUUGCUUUUUAAAACUGCUAGUCUAGAGAUUGAAAGAGGAUAGAGGAAUUCCUAGUGUAGAGGUGAAAUUCGUAAAUAUUAGGAGGAACACCAGUGGCGAAGGCGUCUAUCUGGUUCAAAUCUGACGCUGAGGCGCGAAGGGCGUGGGGAGCAAACAGGGAUUAGAUACCCGU
rnacentral:rRNA from 1 species